UGGGGAAUAUUGGACAAUGGGCGCAAGCCUGAUCCAGCAAUUCCGCGUGGGUGAAGAAGGUCCUCGGAUUGUAAAGCCCUUUCGGCGGGGACGAUGGUGACGGUACCCGCAGAAGAAGCCCCGGCUAACUUCGUGCCAGCAGCCGCGGUAAUACGAAGGGGGCUAGCGUUGCUCGGAAUGACUGGGCGUAAAGGGCGCGUAGGCGGCCCGCUAAGUCAGGCGUGAAAUUCCCGGGCUCAACCCGGGGGCUGCGCUUGAGACUGGCGGGCUCGAGGGCAGGAGAGGCUCGCGGAAUUCCCAGUGUAGAGGUGAAAUUCGUAGAUAUUGGGAAGAACACCGGUGGCGAAGGCGGCGAGCUGGCCUGUUUCUGACGCUGAGGCGCGAAAGCGUGGGGAGCAAA
rnacentral:rRNA from 1 species